AAAAGCUCCAGCGAACCAUCUAAACUAGCUAUGCCGUCUGGAUCCCCAACCCUAAACAACGCAUUUUACACCCCAGACAGAAGACCGCUGGUCGCCGCCAUAACUUCCCUUCUCCAACACCUAAACCCACAAAACCAUAACUUCAAAAAUUUCACUUCAAACUCUCUUAACCAAUUCUCCCAUCACCUAGACAGUAAGCUAGUCAUCAAAGUCAUCCAAAACCAAACCAACCCAUUUCAUGCUCUUUUCUUCUUCAACUGGGCGGCAGAUCCUAACCCUAACCCCAACAAUUAUACCCAUUCUCACUUAUGCUAUAAAGCCAUCAUUGACACUUUGCUCUCUCACUCCCUCUUGUCCACAGCCACUUCACUCCUUCAACAAUCUAGUAAGCUCUCUGAUUUCUUCAUUGGUAAAAUCAUCAAAGCUUAUGGUGAUUGCGGCAAUUUUAAAGCUGCAAUCUUUUGGUUUAACCAAGCUAAAAGCAUUGAAAAUGGGAAGUGUUUGUUUUCAUACAAUUCAAUAUUGGGGGUUUUGGUUAGAGGAAAUCGGAUGAAAUUAGCUGAGGCUUUUUUUGAUCAAAUGUUUAAGGAUAAUAUGGUGCAACCUGAUGUUUCAACUUAUACAACGAUGAUUAGGGGAUAUUGUAAAAUGGGUAUGAUAGAAAAUGCUAGAAAGGUGUUUGAUGAAAUGAUGGUUGAGCCUAAUUUAGUUACUUAUAAUACUAUGAUGAAUGGGUUCUGUAAAAAAGGUGAUAUGAAGAGUGCAGGAUCGAUUUUGAAUCGGAUGAUGACGAGUGAAGAUUGCUUGCCUGACACGGUUACUUAUACUACUUUGAUUGAUGGGUAUUGUAAGAGUGGUGAGUUAGAAGAGGCAAUGAAGUUUAUGGAUGAGAUGGUGAGAAGGGGUUGCCAGCCAAAUGUGUUGACAUAUAAUGCGUUGAUUUAUGGUCUGAGUUUGAGAGGAUAUGUCACUCAGGCGAAGAUUAUGGUUACAAAGAUGAGAUUAGAUGGAUUGAAGGAUAAUAUUUCCACUCACAACAGUAUAUUAAAGGGGCUUUGCAUUGUGGGGAAGUUAGAGCAGGCUGGUAUAUAUCUUAAGCACAUGACUAAGUCUAAUAUGAAGCCGGAUGUGAUAUCAUAUCGGGUUGUUAUUAAUGGCUAUUGCAAAAUGGGGAAAUCGGAUGAAGCCAUAUCGCUCUUGAAGGAAAUGCAAGCAGGAGGCAUCAAGCCGAAUGUUUCAAGUUUCAAUGAUGUGUUUAGGAUUCUUGUGGGAAAUGAGGAGCUUGAUAGAGCUAUUUUACUUCUAAAUAAGAUGCCUAAAAUGGGUUGCCCGCCUAAUUUCAUCUCAUAUAGCACAAUAAUAUGUGGUCUUUGUAUGGCUAAAGGUCGGAUGCAAGAAGUUGAAGGGCUUCUUGAUGCCAUGUUUAGAAGUGGUCACAACAUUGAUGCCACCAUGUAUAGUUGCUUGCUAAAAGGAUAUUGUGAGGAUGGUAACUUGGAAGCGGCAAUGCGAAUUGCAUAUGAAAUGGUCAGCAAGAAAUUUGUAAUCAAUCUGGAGAGCAUUUCAAUUCUUUUCAAGGAGUUGUGUGCAAAGAUGAAAUUUACUGAAGCUGAAACACUUUUUGAAAUGUGCGUCAGAUGUCCUGUAGAUGAUAAGGAUAAUUACAGAAGGAUCUUAGAUGAGCAAAUAUGUAUUAUGCAAGGGAUUCGUAAUGAAUAUGGACAGAAUUCUUGACGAUUACAAAAAAUAUAAAUCUUAUUAACAAUUGUGUAACAAUUUUUUUGUUUUCAUUAACAGCAGUGUGGAAUCUGAUAUUGCUUUUAAGUUUUGUGUCCAUUAACCUGGGAGUUGGAGUAGAACUCAUGGCUGCAAGGUAUGUAGUCAGUGUUGCAAAUACAAGUUUUUGUCCUGUAAAUAAACUUGUACAGUUCCAUUCAUCUUUUGAUGAUCAAUGGCAGUGCUUUGACCAUGUUGAUUCCGAUAUCACAAGCAUUUCCAACAUUAGCUAAUUUCAUGACAAACAAAUUUCUCAGAAUGGAGCUUUGUUCUUUAUGUCAUGUCAAUGCAGGUGCUAUGAUGUUACCAAAUGAUAGAAGCCUGAUACGCAGUAAGCUUUUGCUUUGCCAGCAUAGAAGAGAUUUGCUUAAUUUCAACAUCUAGAGCGUGUUUGAAAUUUUAUUCUCUAAGUAGAGGCUCGAAAACACGUGUCCUCUUAUCACAAUAUCUCUUCAUAUAUAUGGUUCGUUUUCACACGAACUGUGGCCCACAUGAUCGAGGACGUGGGAAGAUCUGGAUGGCAAAGUCCCCCAGGUCGCAUCAUACAUGCUGUGCAACCCACUACUUCUUGGCUCACAUCAUCGCUCCUCAAAUUCAUCUUUUCUACUUCAAUUAAGAUACAAAUUUCUAAUUAUUAAUCUUGUUUAACCCAACGUUAAUUAAACUGUGUUAUGAAAUUAACACUUUAUUUUUAUUUUUAUGAAUUUGGAUAGUAAUUGGGCCGAAACCGAAUCCCAUAGAAUCACGGAUUCUUGCCAUAUUUAUAAAAUCCCGUUAAUUAAUUCACUUUCGUUCCGAUUCAAAUCCACACACCACCCUCUCUCUCUCUCUCUCUCUCUCUCUCUCUCUCUCUCACACAGUAAAAAAAUAUUCACAUCUUUCCCUCCUUUACUCUCGCACUCUCUUUUGUACAGAAGGAGAAGACUAAACUUUGGAGUUGAUUGGGCGAUGGACGCAGCCGCUGCUUACAAUCCACGUACGGUGGAAGAAGUCUUUCGAGAUUUCAAAGGCCGACGAGCUGGCAUGAUUAAAGCCCUUACUUCUGAUGUUGAAGAGUUCUACCAGCAGUGUGACCCUGAGAAGGAAAAUCUUUGCCUGUAUGGAUUUCCCAGUGAGCAGUGGGAGGUGAAUUUACCUGCUGAAGAGGUGCCUCCAGAGCUUCCAGAGCCUGCACUGGGUAUAAAC